CGAAACGUUCACGUUCUCAGUUUUUCUGAGGUUGGUCACCUGACGGCGAUUACUUCUUGCUACUUCUCGUUACGAAACUCACCUUGCAGCCCUCGCAGGUGAACGCGCCAAAGUGGAAGCCAGCCGCGGGUUCGCCGCACACCUUGCAUUGCUGAUUCAUCUGUAACAAAAGAAGAAGGACUUUUAUCAUCAUUUGCCAUUUCGUUCGAGUUCAUGAUCCCGAGUUCAUACACCCAGUCGAUUUGUGAUAAAGUUUAUCUACGCAAUCAUCCUCGUUCGGCAGGACGCACAUCGUUCAAGGAUCGAGUAAAAAGUUUUGGUCACGUGAGCGCUCCAAAUUAUAUAGAGCGAGAUCUGGGGAUAGCCAAGAGCCCGUAGAGGACGUGAUGGCCCGAUCGUGGCUAGGUCAUCAGCCGCAUCUCCCAAUCGUUCAACCGCACACAUUCAUCCAACGUAUUGAGUAUCGAUGAUCCACCAAUCCGAUCGCCUCUCAUCCAACAAGCCGUUUCUUCCGCUAUCGCAAUGUUCUUCGACGAUAACCGAUGAGAUACGAUCGAGAGUUUCGUCCAUGAUCAUCGCGUGAAUCAUCGUUUCCUUCAUCGACAUCAAUUUCAUCGUUCGCAUGUUAAAGUAAAUUAUUCUUACUUAGGUCGUCUCAAAACGAUUUUACACGAUUAUCGAUGCUCUUUAUAAUCAGAUCGUAUAUACCAUAUUUAUUCGUAUCAUUAUCUAUUGAAGAACUAAAUCAUGAAUGGUCAUGUUUAUUUAAUCAAAUUAACAUUAUUUAAUGGAUUAGAAUCAACGAGUGUGGGUGGAAAUAAACAUAAAGGUAUCUCCGUUGCAGCUAGUCUGGAAUCCUUGGAUCUUUUUAGAGAAGGAAAGAAAGGAGAGAAAAAGACAGAGAAGGAGAAAAAGAGAGAGAGAGAGAGAGAGAGAGAGAGAGAGAGAAAGGACAAACGUGUAAGAAAGGAGAAUCCCUCUUGGCCAUCUUGAGAAUUCCUUCGAGAUGGUAGUCGCUCUAUAUAUAUAUCAGUUGGACGAGGGACAUAUUUCGAAGGCGUCCUAUUUAUUUAUUUUAUCCGACUGGAUGUUGUGUCUGUGAGAAAGAAAGAAAGAGAAUGAAAGAGAGAGAGAGAGAGAGAGAGAGAGAGAGAAAAGAGGAGAUUAAAUUCUCCCUACAUACUGCGGAGCGUAGGGUUAAGUUAUGCAUCUCGGUCGGUCCCUCCCCCCACUUCUUCUAAAGGUACUUAUCUUCGAGGCAUCUUCCCGUGUGUGCCCGCAGCGUACCAUCUACCUCCCUUUCUCCGUUUCUCCUUCUUCCUUUCUCUCUCUCUCUUUCCUUCUCUUUCUCUCUCUCUUUUUUCUCAAGGGAGAAUGCGUCGCGAGAAGGGGGUCGUAUCCACAUUCGCAUCCGUAAAUCAAGGAUUAAAUAAAAUAGCCAACUCGUGUGAGAGUCAAAUGAGACCUCUCACCCCUUUUGCCCUAAGCGCAAAAAAGAUGGCAACGAUCUUUCUUGACUUUUUUAGACACUGAUUUGUGUUUGAUUGGGCUUCUUCUUCAUAUUUUUCUCCUUCUUCUUCUUCUUCUUCUUCUUAUAACUCUGUUAUUAUUUUUAUUUAUUUUCUUUGUUAUUGUUGUUGUUGUUGUUGUUGUUGUCGCUGCUGCCUCGAUAGCAAUAACGCAUCGAUUUGAUAUACAUACAUACAUACAUACGUAGAUAUUUAACUAAUUGUUAAAGAAAUUUCAUUCGAAUAUCCUCUUCGUUCGUGCGAAUCUUUAUCGGGUUACGGAUUAUACGGGUAUGUGAUAAAUGAAAAUAAGAUCGAGGGGUUAUGGGAACGCGGCUUCACACGCGGUCGAACGGCCACAUUGGAUGUAACAUCGCCGUCCCGUUGGACUUAACGCUCACGAGUGGCAUGUAAGGACCAUUGCUAGAGUAGAUACGUGUUGCACUUCCCGAAGCACUAUGUUGCAAGUACAGAAGA